CAGUCGCCGCGGGAAUACAGAGGGUGCAAGCGUUAAUCGGAUUUACUGGGCGUAAAGGGCGCGUAGGUGGUUAUUUAAGUGAGAUGUGAAAUCCCCGGGCUUAACCUGGGAACUGCAUCUUAUACUGGGUAACUGGAGUGCAGUAGAGGGUAGUGGAAUUUCCGGUGUAGCGGUGAAAUGCGUAGAUAUCGGAAGGAACACCCGUGGCGAAAACGAGGUCCUGGACGUCUACUGACGCUGAGACGCGAAAGCUAGGGGAGCGAACGGGAUUAGAUACCCCCGUAGUCCCUGUCUCUUAUAC
rnacentral:rRNA from 1 species